rnacentral:rRNA from 1 species
GGAUGAAUCUUCCGCAAUGGGCGCAAGCCUGACGGAGCGACGCCGCGUGUGGGAUGAAGCGCCUUCGGUGUGUAAACCACUGUCAGGAAAUAGAACCAAUGAUCAUUUCCAAAGGAAGAGACGGCUAACCCUGUGCCAGCAGCCGCGGUAAUACAGGGGUCUCGAGCGUUAAUCGGAAUUACUGGGCUUAAAGGGUGCGUAGGCUGGCCCGCAAGUGCUUUGUGAAAUCCCCUGGCUCAACCAGGGAACU